rnacentral:RNase_P_RNA from 1 species
AGCGGGUCGGACAGCCGCGGGCGCAAGUCGAAAGGCUGCGCGUGAGGAAAGUCCGGGCUCCACAGGGCAAGGAUAACGGGUAACGCCCGCCAGGGGUAACCCUCGGACAAGUGCAACAGAGAGAUACCGCCCGGCAGUUCCUGCCGGGUAAGGGUGGAAACGUGCGGUAAGAGCGCACGCGCCGGCUGGAGACAGUGCGGUGAUGUAAACUCUAUCCGGAGCAACACCGUGGAGGGACAUAUGGCCGGCCCGGCCGUCCCGAGGAGGUGGCUGGAGCGCAUCGGCAACGGUGCGCCUAGAUAGAUGGCUGUCGAUUACAGAACCCGGCUUAUAGAUCCGCUCAUC